UUUGAUCAUGGCUCAGGACGAACGCUGGCGGCGUGCUUAACACAUGCAAGUCGAGCGAUGAAGUUUCUUCGGAAAUGGAUUAGCGGCGAACGGGUGAGGAACACGUGAAGAAUCUGCCCUCCACUUUGGGAUAACACAGGGAAACCUGUGCUAAUACCGAAUAUUGAAACAUAAGUGGCAUCACUGAGUUUUGAAAGAAUUUCGGUGGAGGAUGACUUCGCGGCCUAUCAGCUAGUUGGUGAGGUAAUGGCUCACCAAGGCAACGACGGGUAGCCGGCCUGAGAGGGCGACCGGCCACACUGGGACUGAGACACGGCCCAGACUCCUACGGGAGGCAGCAGUGGGGAAUAUUGGGCAAUGGAGGAAACUCUGACCCAGCGACGCCGCGUGCGGGAUGAAGGCCUUCGGGUUGUAAACCGCUUUCAGUAGGGAAGAAGCGAAAGUGACGGUACCUACAAAAGAAGCACCGGCUAACUAUGUGCCAGCAGCCGCGGUAAUACAUAGGGUGCAAGCGUUGUCCGGAAUUAUUGGGCGUAAAGAGCUCGUAGGUUGUUUGUUACGUCGGAUGUGAAAACCUGAGGCUCAACCUCAGGCCUGCAUUCGAUACGGGCAAACUAGAGUUUGGUAGGGGAGACUGGAAUUCCUGGUGUAGCGGUGGAAUGCGCAGAUAUCAGGAGGAACACCAAUGGCGAAGGCAGGUCUCUGGGCCAAUACUGACACUGAGGAGCGAAAGUCUGGGGAGCGAACAGGAUUAGAUACCCUGGUAGUCCAGACCGUAAACGGUGGGCACUAGUUGUGGGGACCUUCCACGGUUUAUGCGACGCAGCUAACGCA
rnacentral:rRNA from 1 species